CGGGCGGACGGGUGAGUAACGCGUGGGUAACCUACCCUGUACACACGGAUAACAUACCGAAAGGUAUGCUAAUACGGGAUAAUAUAUUUGAGAGGCAUCUCUUGAAUAUCAAAGGUGAGCCAGUACAGGAUGGACCCGCGUCUGAUUAGGCUAGUUGGUAAGGUAACGGCUUACCAAGGCGACGAUCAGUAGCCGACCUGAGAGGGUGAUCGGCCACAUUGGAACUGAGACACGGUCCAA
rnacentral:rRNA from 1 species